AAUAAUAAUAGUAAACAAAAAAUUCAUAACCCUAGUGAAAUCAAAUGCUUCCAUUGUUCUCUUAAGACUUGUGCAUACAUUCACUCAUUUAUUCA